rnacentral:rRNA from 1 species
AUGAACGCUAGCUACAGGCUUAACACAUGCAAGUCGAGGGGCAGCAUCAUCAAAGCUUGCUUUGAUGGAUGGCGACCGGCGCACGGGUGAGUAACACGUAUCCAACCUGCCGACAACACUGGGAUAGCCUUUCGAAAGAAAGAUUAAUACCGGAUGGCAUAGUUUUCCCGCAUGGGAUAAUUAUUAAAGAAUUUCGGUUGUCGAUGGGGAUGCGUUCCAUUAGGCAGUUGGCGGGGUAACGGCCCACCAAACCUACGAUGGAUAGGGGUUCUGAGAGGAAGGUCCCCCACAUUGGAACUGAGACACGGUCCAAACUCCUACGGGAGGCAGCAGUGAGGAAUAUUGGUCAAUGGACGAGAGUCUGAACCAGCCAAGUAGCGUGAAGGAUGACUGCCCUAUGGGUUGUAAACUUCUUUUAUACGGGAAUAAAGUGAGCCACGUGUGGCUUUUUGUAUGUACCGUAUGAAUAAGGAUCGGCUAACUCCGUGCCAGCAGCCGCGGUAAUACGGAGGAUCCGAGCGUUAUCCGGAUUUAUUGGGUUUAAAGGGAGCGUAGGCGGGUUGUUAAGUCAGUUGUGAAAGUUUGCGGCUUAACCGUAAAAUUGCAGUUGAUACUGGCGACCUUGAGUGCAACAGAGGUAGGCGGAAUUCGUGGUGUAGCGGUGAAAUGCUUAGAUAUCACGAAGAACUCCGAUUGCGAAGGCAGCUUACUGGAUUGUAACUGACGCUGAUGCUCGAAAGUGUGGGUAUCAAACAGGAUUAGAUACCCUGGUAGUCCACACAGUAAACGAUGAAUACUCGCUGUUGGCGAUAUACGGUCAGCGGCCAAGCGAAAGCAUUAAGUAUUCCACCUGGGGAGUACGCCGGCAACGGUGAAACUCAAAGGAAUUGACGGGGGCCCGCACAAGCGGAGGAACAUGUGGUUUAAUUCGAUGAUACGCGAGGAACCUUACCCGGGCUUAAAUUGCAACUGACUGAACCGGAAACGGUUCUUUCUUCGGACAGUUGUGAAGGUGCUGCAUGGUUGUCGUCAGCUCGUGCCGUGAGGUGUCGGCUUAAGUGCCAUAACGAGCGCAACCCUUAUCGAUAGUUACUAGCAGGUCAUGCUGAGGACUCUAUUGAGACUGCCGUCGUAAGAUGUGAGGAAGGUGGGGAUGACGUCAAAUCAGCACGGCCCUUACGUCCGGGGCUACACACGUGUUACAAUGGGGGGGGUACAGAAGGCAGCUACACGGCGACGUGGUGCUAAUCCCGAAAGCCUCUCUCAGUUCGGAUUGGAGUCUGCAACCCGACUCCAUGAAGCUGGAUUCGCUAGUAAUCGCGCAUCAGCCACGGCGCGGUGAAUACGUUCCCGGGCCUUGUACACACCGCCCGUCAAGCCAUGAAAGCCGGGGGUACCUGAAGUACGUAACCGCGAGGAGCGUCCUAGGGUAAAACUGGUGAUUGGGGCU